ACAUGAAUGGUUUCUUANUGGUAGAAUAGUACCCUGCCACGGUACAGACCCGGGUUCGAUUCCCGGCUGGUGCA